AUAUCACUAAAUAUUUUUGAACUUUUUUUAUUAUUAGUUUGCAUUUUGAUCUGCCUGCAAAAUAUUGAAUGGGCACAAUGGAAAAUAAUAAGUGGGUAGAAAUGCUUCCUGUAGCCUGAACUGUGCCCUAGUUAGUGGUUGAGUUGUUCACCUGUGUGCUUGAGGAACUGCUCUAAGAGAAAGUAGUUUUUGUGACUCAGUGUGUUUUUUUUUUUUCCUCUUCAGACAGAGAAAGACAAAAACAGGAAAUUUGGAUGGACUACUUUCCUCCCGACGAACUUUAUCACAGCAGGGAGGACAGUGUCCACAAGGCGGGUGUCAACGUCCCAAAUCGCUUCAUGCAACUUGAGGAACACUUUCUUCGAUCAGCUCGACCCGUGUGACGAGGUGUUCUGUUUGAAGCCACCCCUUCUAGAAGAACCUGAGAAUGAAAACCAUUGCUGGGUCGACCUAGUCUUAUUAAAAGACAAACAAUAUUUUAAAAAAGAUCAUUUACAGCUAAAGGAGAGUGAAAACAAGUGAGCUGACAACAAGCCAACCUCAUCCAACCAAUCCUUACUGGAUCUUUGCCAGUAAAAUCCAGCCUUUGGCAACCCACCCAGUUUACCAACCCUUUAAAGCAGGCAGGCUCCUGACCUGGAUAAAAACCCUAUUUUAAGAAGCUGUGCAGACUCAGAACCUACUAGCUGCUGGGGCCCAAGAUGUUUUCAAAUCUCCUCUACUCAUGUCUUGCUGAGGGUGGCCAUCUGUUUUUUUAUCUCCUGGUGAAGUGCUUUCUGCUUGCUCUCUCUCUCUCUCUCUCUCUCUCUCUCUCUCUCUCUCUCUCUCUCUCUC